AUUGAACGCUGGCGGCAGGCCUAACACAUGCAAGUCGAACGAGUGGCGGACGGGUGAGUAAUGUCUGGGAAACUGCCCGGUGGAGGGGGAUAACUACCGGAAACGGUAGCUAAUACCGCAUACCAUCGGAUGAGCCCAGAUGGGAUUAGCUAGUGGGUGGGGUAAUGGCUCACCAAGGCGACGAUCCCUACCUGGUCUGAGAGGAUGACCAGCCACACUGGAACUGAGACACGGUCCAGACUCCUACGGGAGGCAGCAGUGGGGAAUAUUGCACAAUGGGCGCAAGCCUGAUGCAGCCAGGCCGCGUGUAUGAAGAAGGCCUUCGGGUUGUAAAGUACUUUCAGUGGGGAGGCGUUACUCGCAGAAGAAGCACCGGCUAACUCCGUGCCAGCAGCCGCGGUAAUUC
rnacentral:rRNA from 1 species